AUUGAACGCUGGCGGCAGGCCUAACACAUGCAAGUCGAGCGGAUGAAGGGAGCUUGCUCCUGGAUUCAGCGGCGGACGGGUGAGUAAUGCCUAGGAAUCUGCCUGGUAGUGGGGGAUAACGUCCGGAAACGGGCGCUAAUACCGCAUACGUCCUGAGGGAGAAAGUGGGGGAUCUUCGGACCUCACGCUAUCAGAUGAGCCUAGGUCGGAUUAGCUAGUUGGUGGGGUAAAGGCCUACCAAGGCGACGAUCCGUAACCGGUCUGAGAGGAUGAUCAGUCACACUGGAACUGAGACACGGUCCAGACUCCUACGGGAGGCAGCAGUGGGGAAUAUUGGACAAUGGGCGAAAGCCUGAUCCAGCCAUGCCGCGUGUGUGAAGAAGGUCUUCGGAUUGUAAAGCACUUUAAGUUGGGAGGAAGGGCAGUAAGUUAAUACCUUGCUGUCUUGACGUUACCAACAGAAUAAGCACCGGCUAACUUCGUG
rnacentral:rRNA from 1 species